UUUAGUUUUUUAUAAAUAGCAAUGUGAGGCAAAAAAGGAAAUAUUUCCCACCAAAUCCUUAUGACUGAACGCCUCAACAAAAUACAGGAAUUCAAUUGGUACUUACUUCAAUAUUUUCUCAAGCUUAAGGCUUAUGUUUUUAAGCUUAUAACAAUAUUAUUCUCAAGUCAUUCUGGUAACAUCAAUUUCUACAUAAACGGCUAAGGUGAAAGUCCUUGGCCAAUCAAAAUUAUUAACCACUGCUGGAUGGAUACUAUAUAAAUAAUAAUUUAGAA